ensembl:snoRNA small nucleolar RNA SNORA77
GCAGACUCACUAAGCACUUGACUGCGGUCUCCAAGGUGAUUUUCCUCCAAAGUGCUUUUUGUCUGCCAGAGAACCAUCCCCGGGAUAUAGGCACCCUUGACCAAUCAGGGGUGAUGUAACUUUUUGAGGUCAUAGAA